GGGGGWUUAGCUCAGCUGGGAGAGCACCUGCUUUGCAAGCAGGGGGUCGUCGGUUCGAUCCCGUCAWCCUCCACCA
rnacentral:tRNA from 1 species